rnacentral:rRNA from 1 species
AACGUAGGUGGCGAGCGUUAUCCGGAUUUACUGGGCGUAAAGCGUGUGCAGGCGGGUGGUCAAGUGGUGUAUGAAAGCACUGCGCUCAACGCAGUGACCGUAGGCCAGACUGACUAUCUGGAGGGCGAGAGAGGGGCGUGGAAUUCCGGGUGUAGUGGUGAAAUGCGCAGAUAUCAGGAAGAACACCCGUGGCGAAAGCGGCUCUCUGGAACGGUACUGACGCUGAGACGCGAAAGCGUGGGGAGCGAACAGG